AAAUGGAUGAAUAGUUAGAAAAAGCAGUUUUCAUUAGAGAUGUAGUAGUUGGUAUCUCGUGGUAGGAUAAGGAGGAUGAGAGAGAGGAAGAAAGGGCCAUUACUGUGAUAGUGUGAGCCGGGGUAAGCUUGGUGCUACCUCUUUUCUUUUGUUGUUAUGUUCUUUGAAAUAAGAGUAUUGAGAGUUUCUGAAUAUUGUGAAGUGAAUCAUGGAAUGAAAGUGUGAUUGGAAUUAUAUGUUAUUAAAUGGGAAGAAGAAAGAUUGAAUGCUGAAAUCUGAAUGUAGUUCAGCAGAAAGAGUGAAUUUGUGGUUGUGUGAAACACUGUAAUGUGAAUGGUAGUUAUGUAUGAAGAAUUCCAGUAAUUGGAAUGAGGGUAAUUGUGUGCUGAAGCUGUGAUGUUGCGGUAUUACAGUUGGAGAUUGUAAGAGUGAAGAUAUAUUGGUGGAAAUAACAAUUAUUGAUAUGACUGAAUUGUU
rnacentral:lncRNA from 1 species